GGUUAAGUGACUAAGCGUACACGGUGGAUGCCUUGGCAGUCAGAGGCGAUGAAAGACGUAGUAACUUGCGAUAAGCCCAGAUUAGGUAGUAACAACCAUUUGAGUCUGGGAUUUCUGAAUGGGGAAACCCACGUGCAUAAGCACGUAUCCUUACCUGAAUACAUAGGGUAAGGAGGCGAACCGGGGAACUGAAACAUCUAAGUACCCCGAGGAAAAGAAAUCAACCGAGAUUCCGAAAGUAGCGGCGAGCGAAAUUGGACUAGCCCUUAAGCUUUACACGCGUUAGACGAACGGUCUGGAAAGUCCGACGAUACAGGGUGAUAGUCCCGUAGUUGACGACGUGUGUUCAGUGAAAUCGAGUAGGGCGGGACACGUGAUAUCCUGUCUGAAUAUGGGGGGACCAUCCUCCAAGGCUAAAUACUACUGACUGACCGAUAGUGAACCAGUACCGUGAGGGAAAGGCGAAAAGAACCCCUGUGAGGGGAGUGAAAUAGAACCUGAAACCGUGUACGUACAAGCAGUAGGAGCAGGCUUUGUCCUGUGACUGCGUACCUUUUGUAUAAUGGGUCAGCGACUUAUAUUCAGUGGCAAGGUUAACCAUCUAGGGGAGCCGUAGGGAAACCGAGUCUUAACUGGGCGUUCAGUCUCUGGAUAUAGACCCGAAACCAGGUGAUCUAGCCAUGGGCAGGUUGAAGGUUGAGUAACAUCAACUGGAGGACCGAACCGACUAAUGUUGAAAAAUUAGCGGAUGACUUGUGGCUAGGGGUGAAAGGCCAAUCAAACCUGGAGAUAGCUGGUUCUCCCCGAAAGCUAUUUAGGUAGCGCCUCGGACGAAUACUACUGGGGGUAGAGCACUGUUAAGGCUAGGGGGUCAUCCCGACUUACCAACCCUUUGCAAACUCCGAAUACCAGUAAGUACUAUCCGGGAGACACACGGCGGGUGCUAACGUCCGUCGUGGAGAGGGAAACAACCCAGACCGCCAGCUAAGGUCCCAAAUUACUACUAAGUGGGAAACGAUGUGGGAAGGCUCAGACAGCCAGGAUGUUGGCUUAGAAGCAGCCAUCAUUUAAAGAAAGCGUAAUAGCUCACUGGUCGAGUCGGCCUGCGCGGAAGAUGUAACGGGGCUAAGUAGUAAACCGAAGCUGCGGCAAUGUGCUUUUGCACAUUGGGUAGGGGAGCGUUCUGUAAGCGGUUGAAGGUGUGUGGUAACGCAUGCUGGACGUAUCAGAAGUGCGAAUGCUGACAUGAGUAACGAUAAAGGGGUGAAAAACCUCCUCGCCGGAAGACCAAGGGUUCCUGUCCAACGUUAAUCGGGGCAGGGUAAGUCGACCCCUAAGGCGAGGCCGAAAGGCGUAGUCGAUGGGAAACGGGUUAAUAUUCCCGUACUUCUUACAAUUGCGAUGGGGGACGGAGAAGGCUAGGUGGGCCUGGCGACGGUUGUCCAGGUUCAAGUGCGUAGGCUUAAGAGUUAGGUAAAUCCGGCUCUUUUUAAGGCUGAGACACGACGUCGAGCACCUACGGGUGUGAAGUCAUUGAUGCCAUGCUUCCAGGAAAAGCCUCUAAGCUUCAGAUUGUAAGGAAUCGUACCCCAAACCGACACAGGUGGUCGGGUAGAGAAUACCAAGGCGCUUGAGAGAACUCGGGUGAAGGAACUAGGCAAAAUGGUACCGUAACUUCGGGAGAAGGUACGCUCUUGACGGUGAAGUCCCUCGCGGAUGGAGCUAUUGAGAGUCGCAGAUACCAGGUGGCUGCAACUGUUUAUUAAAAACACAGCACUGUGCAAAAUCGUAAGAUGACGUAUACGGUGUGACGCCUGCCCGGUGCCGGAAGGUUAAUUGAUGGGGUUAGACUUCGGUCGAAGCUCUUGAUCGAAGCCCCGGUAAACGGCGGCCGUAACUAUAACGGUCCUAAGGUAGCGAAAUUCCUUGUCGGGUAAGUUCCGACCUGCACGAAUGGCGUAAUGAUGGCCACGCUGUCUCCACCCGAGACUCAGUGAAAUUGAAAUCGCUGUGAAGAUGCAGUGUACCCGCGGCUAGACGGAAAGACCCCGUGAACCUUUACUACAGCUUGGCACUGAACAUUGACCCUACAUGUGUAGGAUAGGUGGGAGGCUUUGAAGCACGUACGCCAGUAUGUGUGGAGCCGUCCUUGAAAUACCACCCUUGUAGUGUUGAUGUUCUAACGUCGACCCCUUAUCGGGGUUGCGGACAGUGCCUGGUGGGUAGUUUGACUGGGGCGGUCUCCUCCCAAAGAGUAACGGAGGAGCACGAAGGUGGGCUAAUCACGGUUGGACAUCGUGAGGUUAGUGCAAUGGCAUAAGCCCGCUUGACUGCGAGAAUGACAAUUCGAGCAGGUGCGAAAGCAGGUCAUAGUGAUCCGGUGGUUCUGAAUGGAAGGGCCAUCGCUCAACGGAUAAAAGGUACUCCGGGGAUAACAGGCUGAUACCGCCCAAGAGUUCAUAUCGACGGCGGUGUUUGGCACCUCGAUGUCGGCUCAUCACAUCCUGGGGCUGAAGUCGGUCCCAAGGGUAUGGCUGUUCGCCAUUUAAAGUGGUACGCGAGCUGGGUUUAGAACGUCGUGAGACAGUUCGGUCCCUAUCUGCCGUGGGCGUUGGAAGAUUGAAGGGGGCUGCUCCUAGUACGAGAGGACCGGAGUGGACGAACCUCUGGUGUUCGGGUUGUGUCGCCAGACGCAUUGCCCGGUAGCUAAGUUCGGAAUCGAUAACCGCUGAAAGCAUCUAAGCGGGAAGCGAGCCCUGAGAUGAGUCUUCCCUGAUACUUUAAGUAUCCUAAAGGGUUGUCGGAGACUACGACGUUGAUAGGUCAGGUGUGUAAGUGCUGUGAGGCAUUGAGCUAACUGAUACUAAUUGCCCGUGAGGCUUAACCAU
rnacentral:rRNA from 1 species